GGUCGCGUGGCCGAGCGGUGUAAGGCGCUGGUUUUAGGCACCAAUCCAAAAGGGCGUGGGUUCGAAUCCCACCGCUGCCA